rnacentral:tRNA from 1 species
GGUCAGAUAGCUCAGCUGGUAGAGCAUGGCACUGAAAAUGCCAGGGUCGCCGGUUCAAGUCCGGCUCUGACCA